UUUUAGCCUGGGAGCAACAAUACAGUUCUCCUGUGAUGAAGACUAUGUGCUUCAGGGUUCCAAAAGUAUCACUUGUCAGAGGAUAGCUGAAGUUUUUGCUGCAUGGAGUGAUCACAGACCUGUGUGUAAAGUAAAGACUUGUGGAUCUAAUCUUCAGGGACCCAGUGGAACUUUCACAUCCCCCAAUUUUCCAUUCCAGUAUGACAGUAAUGCCCAGUGUGUCUGGGUCAUCACAGCCAUCAACAACAACAAGGUCAUCCAGAUAAAUUUUGAAGAAUUUGACCUGGAGAUUGGCUAUGACACACUGACAAUUGGUGAUGGAGGAGAAGUGGGUGAUCCCAAA